UACGUAGGGUGCAAGCGUUGUCCGGAAUUAUUGGGCGUAAAGAGCUCGUAGGCGGUCUGUCGCGUCGGCUGUGAAAACCUGGGGCUCAACUCCGGGCCUGCAGCCGAUACGGGCUGACUAGAAUUCGGUAGGGGAGACUGGAAUUCCUGGUGUAGCGGUGAAAUGCGCAGAUAUCAGGAGGAACACCGGUGGCGAAGGCGGGUCUCUGGGCUGACACUGACGCUCAUGCACGAAAGCGUGGGGAGCAAACAGG
rnacentral:rRNA from 1 species